GCUAACACUGCUGGUCCUAGUCC
rnacentral:piRNA from 1 species